rnacentral:rRNA from 1 species
UACAGAGGUCCCAAGCGUUGUUCGGAUUCAUUGGGCGUAAAGGGUGCGUAGGCGGCGCGGUAAGUCGGGUGUGAAAUCUCGGAGCUUAACUCCGAAACUGCAUUCGAUACUGCCGUGCUUGAGGACUGGAGAGGAGACUGGAAUUUACGGUGUAAGCGGUGAAAUGCGUAGAUAUCGUAAGGAAGACCAGUGGCGAAGGCGGGUCUCUGGACAGUUCCUGACGUGAGGCACGAAGGUCAGGGGGAGCAAACGGG